GACGAGCGCUGGCGGCGUGCUUAACACAUGCAAGUCGAGCGGAAAGGCCCUUCGGGGUACUCGAGCGGCGAACGGGUGAGUAACACGUGAGUAACCUGCCCCAGACUUUGGGAUAACCCUCGGAAACGGGGGCUAAUACCGGAUACGACACAGCUUCGCAUGGGGUCUGUGUGGAAAGUUUUUCGGUUUGGGAUGGGCUCGCGGCCUAUCAGCUUGUUGGUGGGGUGAUGGCCUACCAAGGCGACGACGGGUAGCCGGCCUGAGAGGGCGACCGGCCACACUGGGACUGAGACACGGCCCAGACUCCUACGGGAGGCAGCAGUGGGGAAUAUUGCACAAUGGGCGGAAGCCUGAUGCAGCGACGCCGCGUGAGGGAUGACGGCCUUCGGGUUGUAAACCUCUUUCAGCAGGGACGAAGCGUAAGUGACGGUACCUGCAGAAGAAGCGCCGGCCAACUACGUG
rnacentral:rRNA from 1 species